rnacentral:rRNA from 1 species
CUCCUUAUGGAGCGAAGUCUUUGAUUCCCCGCUGCCAAGAAAAGCUUCUAGCGAGAUAAAAGGUGCCUGUACCGCAAACCGACACAGGUAGGCGAGGAGAGAAUCCUAAGGUGUGCGAGAGAACUCUGGUUAAGGAACUCGGCAAAAUGACCCCGUAACUUCGGGAGAAGGGGUGCUUUCUUAACGGAAAGCCGCAGUGAAUAGGCCCAAGCGACUGUUUAGCAAAAACACAGCUCUCUGCGAAGCCGUAAGGCGAAGUAUAGGGGGUGACACCUGCCCGGUGCUGGAAGGUUAAGGAGAGGGGUUAGCGUAAGCGAAGCUCUGAACUGAAGCCCCAGUAAACGGCGGCCGUAACUAUAACGGUCCUAAGGUAGCGAAAUUCCUUGUCGGGUAAGUUCCGACCCGCACGAAAGGUGUAACGAUUUGGGCACUGUCUCAACCAGAGACUCGGUGAAAUUAUAGUACCUGUGAAGAUGCAGGUUACCCGCGACAGGACGGAAAGACCCCGUGGAGCUUUACUGUAGCCUGAUAUUGAAUUUUGGUACAGUUUGUACAGGAUAGGCGGGAGCCAUUGAAACCGGAGCGCUAGCUUCGGUGGAGGCGCUGGUGGGAUACCGCCCUGACUGUAUUGAAAUUCUAACCUACGGGUCUUAUCGACCCGGGAGACAGUGUCAGGUGGGCAGUUUGACUGGGGCGGUCGCCUCCUAAAGUGUAACGGAGGCGCCCAAAGGUUCCCUCAGAAUGGUUGGAAAUCAUUCGUAGAGUGCAAAGGCAUAAGGGAGCUUGACUGCGAGACCUACAAGUCGAGCAGGGACGAAAGUCGGGCUUAGUGAUCCGGUGGUUCCGCAUGGAAGGGCCAUCGCUCAACGGAUAAAAGCUACCCCGGGGAUAACAGGCUUAUCUCCCCCAAGAGUCCACAUCGACGGGGAGGUUUGGCACCUCGAUGUCGGCUCAUCGCAUCCUGGGGCUGUAGUCGGUCCCAAGGGUUGGGCUGUUCGCCCAUUAAAGCGGUACGCGAGCUGGGUUCAGAACGUCGUGAGACAGUUCGGUCCCUAUCCGUCGUGGGCGUAGGAAAUUUGAGAGGAGCUGUCCUUAGUACGAGAGGACCGGGAUGGACGCACCGCUGGUGUACCAGUUGUUCUGCCAAGGGCAUAGCUGGGUAGCUAUGUGCGGAAGGGAUAAGUGCUGAAAGCAUCUAAGCAUGAAGCCCCCCUCAAGAUGAGAUUUCCCAUAGCGUAAGCUAGUAAGAUCCCUGAAAGAUGAUCAGGUUGAUAGGUUCGAGGUGGAAGCAUGGUGACAUGUGGAGCUGACGAAUACUAAUAGAUC